rnacentral:misc_RNA from 1 species
CAACCAUCAAGCCCCCGGGCUUGUGUUGGGGACCUGCGGCUGCCGCAGGCCCCGAAAAACAGUGGCGGGCUCGCUGUCACCCCGAGCGUAGUAGUUUACACCUCGCCCAGGGCGUGCCGCGGGUUCCCGGCCGUUAAACCCCCCAUACCACAA